rnacentral:sRNA from 1 species
AGUGACCUUCGUUUGCAUUGAAAAUCCUUUUAUGAAGCGUAGCGAAAUAAAAGAUUGCAACGAAAAGCCUGACCCGCC